AUGAGCGAAGAGCUGGAGUUGAAAACCAUACAAGUUGUCCGUGACAACAAUAACUCGACAGAGCAAACGACUGUGGAGGUUCCGGGGAAUGGUGCUUACUCAGGCCACGACAGUUCAGAGAGAAAUGAAGUGUCCCCUUUGCUAUCAACAACACAGGACACUGAGAACAACAGGGAACAGCACAUCCAUGUGGAUGAAGGCGUCGAUACUGACUCUCUAAGUCAACACAAUUUGCAGAGGGAGCUGCGGAGGGUAAAGAAAGAACUGAAUGAAGUGGUGGUGUGGAAACUCAAACUAUGGACAUUGAUACUUAUCGUCUUUACUGCCAUUGCUCUGGUUAUUGGGAUCUCAAUCAUUGUGUGCGCAGUUGUUGAUGAUGAUGAGGAUGAAAAAUAUGACAAAUCAUCAUUUGUGGUGCCGCGCUUCUUCAGAGGGAAUUUCACUCUGGACGCUGAAAGUUUCGAUUCAGAAACUAAGGAGGAAGACACUAUGAUAGAGCUGAAAGAGCAGGUAAUAACAAGAAUGAUUUGA
rnacentral:lncRNA from 1 species